rnacentral:rRNA from 1 species
CAGUAGCCGCGGGAAUACGAAGGGUGCAAGCGUUACUCGGAAUUACUGGGCGUAAAGCGUGCGUAGGUGGUGGUUUAAGUCCGUUGUGAAAGCCCUGGGCUCAACCUGGGAAUUGCAGUGGAUACUGGGUCACUAGAGUGUGGUAGAGGAUAGUGGAAUUUCCGGUGUAGCAGUGAAAUGCGUAGAGAUCGGAAGGAACAUCUGUGGCGAAGGCGACCAUCUGGGCCAACACUGACACUGAGGCACGAAAGCGUGGGGAGCAAACAGGAUUAGAUACCCCCGUAGUCCCUGUCUCUUAUAC